rnacentral:lncRNA from 1 species
AAACUUAUUGUCUUGCAGUUCUGGGGCUAGAAGUCUGAGAUCAAGGUGUCAGCAGGGUUGGUUCCUUCUGACGCUGGGAGGAAGAAUCUGGUCCAGGCGUCUCUCCCAGCUUCUGGUGGUCUGCCGGCGAGCUUUGGCGUUCCUGGGCUUGUACAAGCAUCACCCCGUCUCUGCCUCCAUCUUCACAUGUUCUUCUCCUUCUGUGCAUCUGUGUCUUCACAUGGCCAUCUUACAAGAACCCCAGUCAUCCUGAAUUAGAGACCCACCUACUCCAGUGUGACCUCAUCCCAGCUAAAUACAUCUGCAAUGACUUCGCCUCCAAAUAAGGUCGCAUUCUGAGUGGCACUGUGACAAUGCCUGGCGCCUGCUCACGCAGGGAGUGAGUGCUCCGGGGAGCUUGGCUGGUGUGGACACUAUCUGGAGGAGCAUGUUCAGAGCUGUUGAAAGGCAGGUGGUUCUGAGGCACCCAGCUCCUUGGGCUCUGUCUGGGCCUAUGUCCUCAUAAAACCCAGGUGAGCCGAGAGCAAGGAGGUAGAAAGGUGAAGCAGGAGAAACGGACCUCAGCUGUGAUGAAGAGCCCAGCGGCCAGGCAAGAGCCUGCACCGGGCGUGUUUUGCAUUUGGGAAGCACCAGGACAAAAUCCCACACGUCUAUGUUGUUAAGUCUUUUCAUCAUGGAAGGCUUGGGCCACAGGUGUUGUCAUCAGGCUCUGGUUCCUUCUACCUUGAAAACGUUUUACCUGCUUGGCAGUGCCCAUGCAGAUGACUCAGCACUGAGCUGGGAGCAGAGCUUUGCCAAAGGUGCUGUGAGGCUAAUGAGCAGAAUCGAGCCAGGCCCGUGGGGGCACCUUCUCCACGGCAGGUGUACCUACAGGUGGGUGUCAAGCAGCUCCACCCCCAAGGUCACUAGUAGUAGACUGAAUUCAGAUUUUCAGUCUUUAACUGUGAGGAAGUGGCAUUUGCAAUGGAUGCAAUGUUAAAUGUUUUUGCCUAAAACUCUGUGUUGAAUUUCUGACUGACAGAGGAUUAAAAAUUACAACUUCUCACAACCAGUUCUCAGGCCGCAUUAACAUAACUUCUCAAGCCAGCAAUGGAGUAGAUUUUCUAUUAGCUUAAAAAAGAAAACCUCAUCAAAACUUCCUUUUCACUGCAGAAUUCUGACCAUGUUGAGUUUACACAACACAACACAGUAGUUGUUAGAACAGCUCAAAGAAAAGGGAGGCCAGUGAAUGAUGGCUCAGGGAUGGAGCUGGGCCUGGAAACCAGCAGUAUCAGAGUCACCUCCCAAGCUGCUGGAAGGAACUGGCCUUUCUGGCUCACCUAACAAUUGGCUAGAGCUUUCUGCACCCCAUGGAUGAGCCCCGCUGGUUUGGGGGAUCUCUACGGUCCAGUCAGUGGUCCCAUCACGAAGCGCGCCCUCACGAUUCUUGGUGACGAGGCACUUUGCCUAUCAGGAAUGUUCCUGGCCGGUUAUCUCACCUUUGCCAU